rnacentral:rRNA from 1 species
CCUACGGGUGGCAGCAGUGAGGAAUAUUGGUCAAUGGGCGCGAGCCUGAACCAGCCAAGUCGCGUGAGGGAAGACGGCCCUACGGGUUGUAAACCUCUUUUGCCGGGGAGCAACGGGCGCCACGUGUGGCGCCACUGAGAGUCCCCGGCGAAAAAGCAUCGGCUAACUCCGUGCCAGCAGCCGCGGUCAUACGGAGGAUGCGCGCGUUCUCCGGAUUUAUUGGGUUAAAGGGGUGCGUAGGCGGAGCGUUAAGUCAGUGGUCAAAUUAAGGGGCUCACCCACGUCUCGCCAUUGAUACUGGCGCGCUUGAGUGGAAGAGAAGUAUGCGGAAUGCGAUGUGUAGCGGUGAAAUGCAUAGAUAUCACGCAGAACCCCGAUUGCGAAGGCAGCAUGCCGGCUUCCUACUGACGCUGAAGCACGAAAGCGUGGGGAGCGAACAGGAUUAGAUACCCUAGUAGUC